CCCAGACUCCUACGGGAGGCAGCAGUGGGGGAUAUUGCACAAUGGGGGAAACCCUGAUGCAGCGACGCCGCGUGAGCGAUGAAGUAUUUCGGUAUGUAAAGCUCUAUCAGCAGGGAAGAAAAUGACGGUACCUGACUAAGAAGCCCCGGCUAACUACGUGCCAGCAGCCGCGGUAAUACGUAGGGGGCGAGCGUUAUCCGGAUUCACUGGGUGUAAAGGGAGCGUAGACGGCCAAGCAAGCCAGGGGUGAAAGCCCGGGGCCCAACCCCGGGACUGCCCUUGGAACUGCAUGGCUGGAGUGCGGGAGGGGCAGGCGGAAUUCCUGGUGUAGCGGUGAAAUGCGUAGAUAUACGGAGGAACACCAGUGGCGAAGGCGGCCUGCUGGACAAUAACUGACGCUGAGGCGCGAAAGCGUGGGGAGCAAACAGGAUUAGAUACCCGGGUAAC
rnacentral:rRNA from 1 species